UAAACAUGGCUGCGAAAAUGUUGAAAAUCCAACAUAUAAUAUCGACAUUAUUGAUAACAAACAAAGGGAUAAAGGUAACAAGUAUUUAAUUAGGUAGUCAUGCACAACCCAAAUCAUCGACACAUUUGUUUCGAUAACUAAAGGAACGUCACUAUAAAUGUGCAUUAAUCAACGAAGUAUCAUAUUUUUCGCGUACAUUCUUCAUACAUUAUUACCAUUACAAAACACUUGCUACAUAGGCGUCAUUUAGAUGACGUCUGUCACAGGACUCAUGCUAUAUUUAUUUAUGAACUAUAGUAUAGUGCUCUCUCUGUUUGACUUUAUGAAACAGAGGGAGCGCUCUAUACUAAUUAUAUUACCUUAUCCGCGGAAUGAAGUCCGUAUAGCACUAUCUCUCUUUUUAUGGGAUUACGUAAAAGAGAGAGCGUUAUACUAAUUACAUUCGACGGAUAAGGUAUAGUUAACUUCGCUUGUCAACAAGUCUUUUUCAUUUAAUGUCCAGCUCACUUCGCUCGCGUUGUAUAUUGCGCGUAAAAAUAGUAAUAAUAGCGUCUUAGUUGGCAACGUCUCCCUUUAUUAUUGUCUUAUCCUUAAACUACUCGGUUCUACUGCGGGUUCUUGUCAGCUGACACCUUCGGCCGAAAGCCGGUCAAAAAAUUUGAGGGUACUUGUUAAAAAGUUUCAGAAUCCACUGCUUAGAUUCCAGAUUCAAAUACUCCGGAAUAUAGAGGUAUGAACCCGUCCAAAUGGCAUUAGUAUGACCUCGACAGCUUCCGUGAACUCUACUAUACCCUAUCCUCGGAGAGAAGUUUAUAUAGGGCUCUCUCGGUUACGUUAUCCCAUACAAAUGACAGACAAAAACCGAGUGGGCGUUAACCAUUUUGAGCGACCUAUCCUAUCCUAGAGACGUUGCUCAAAAUGGUUAACACCCAGAUUUUUUGUCUUUGUAUGGCAUUACGUAACAGAGCGAGCCCUAUAUUAACUUCUCUCUGUGGAUAAAGUAUAACAAAUUCCUGUUACAAGCUUACAGUAAAUAAAUGAAGUGAAGGUAGCAGUAGAUGCCGAGGUCAUCAUAUUAUAAUACGAUGUCAACUUUUACAAAGGACUUCCUCAAAAUUUUCCACCAGUUCUUAGACCUAUACAACUACCUCGUCGCGGCCGUCCGCCAUUUUGAUUCAACCACAAGAUGGCCGCGAUCAACAACUUUUCUAAAUCUCUCAUCUAAGGCAGCGGCCUUACUUAAGAUUUGUUAAUUUGAGCAAAAAAUGCAAACUUUUGGCCUAUUUUUGGCAAAUUAGAGUCAAACCAGGAAGACUGUAGGCCUUAGAGUCAAACCAGGAAGACUGGAGGCCUCAAGCGAAGCGACUACAAAGGGCUACACUACGUGUCUAGGUCACAGGCCCUCAUUCGCUGUGAUAUUCAAAUCUAAACCACCCGUCACUAUAUCCUAUCCGCGGAAACAAGUAAUAUAGCGCUCUCUCUGUCAAUCUCAUACAAAUGAUAGAGCCAAAAGUCUCAGUGGGCGGUAACCGUUUUGAUUCACCGACCAAUCAUAAACAUUUCAUGUUUUCAAAAACCAUUCGAAAUUCAAUUAGAAAACAUAAUUUCGUUUGUGAUUGGUUGGGGACUCAAAAUGAUUAGCGCCCACUGAGAUUUUUGUCUCUAUCAUUUGUAUGGGAUUACGUAACAGAGAGAGCGCUAGCGCUGUACUAACUUAUUUCCGCAGAUAGAGUAUAAUUACCACUAAAAUGUCAUAGGAGUUAGGUUCCUAGAUCAUUCACCACUCGCCGGCCCGGUUACCAAACUAAUACAGUGUUUUAUAAAAAAGAAAAAAUAUAAAUAUAUUCUUGUUAGCAUUUGAAGUCUCAUCACCCGCAACGGGUGUUGAAACUUCGAAUAUACAUGUGGGUAGGUAUAAAAAAAUUAAGUACAUAUAACUAGAGGGCGUGGCCGACGCAUCAGUACUUUGGCAAGACGCACGGCCGCCCGCGGAGGGGUUACUAAGUUACUAAGUGAGACAUCACAAUUAAUAUUAAUCCAACCAUCUAAUACUGAGAAUUUAGGAAAAAAUGCUAAUAUACAAAAGGUGUUAUCGAACGGGCGAUGCGCAUGCCGCGAUUCCGUACCCAACCC